rnacentral:rRNA from 1 species
UGGUGUUGAUUGCGGUGAGGGUCCACCCGUUCCCAUCCCGAACACGGAAGUUAAGCUCACCUGCGCCGAAAAUACUUGUCUGGAGACGGACCGGGAAGAUAGGUAACGCC